AAAGAUUAAGCCAUGCAUGUCUAAGUAUAAGCAAUUAUACAGCGAAACUGCGAAUGGCUCAUUAUAUAAGUUAUCGUUUAUUUGAUAGUACCUUACUACUUGGAUAACCGUGGUAAUUCUAGAGCUAAUACAUGCUAAAAAUCCCGACUUCGGAAGGGAUGUAUUUAUUAGAUUAAAAACCAAUGCCCUUCGGGGCUCUCUGGUGAUUCAUGAUAACUUCUCGAAUCGCACGGCCUUGUGCCGGCGAUGGUUCAUUCAAAUUUCUUCCCUAUCAACUUUCGAUGUUUGGGUCUUGGCCAAACAUGGUUGCAACGGGUAACGGGGAAU
rnacentral:rRNA from 1 species